rnacentral:rRNA from 1 species
UUGAGUCGACCUGAUGGGAUCAACAUCCCUGACGGCAAGUUCUACCUUGGAGAUGCUGGCUAUGCAUGUCGGCCGGGUAUUUUUCCACCCUUUAGGAAAACAAGGUACCAUCUCAAUGAGUUCUCUGGUAGGAACUAUCCUAGGACUGCACAGGAGCUGUUUAAUUUCAGACACUCCGGCCUUAGAGUAACUAUUGAGAGGGCAUUUGGAGAUCUGAAGAAUAGGUUUAAGAUCCUAGAUCAGAAGCCAUUCCACCCAUACUCCACUCAGGUUAAGCUAGUUCUUGCUUGUUGCAUUCUGCACAACUGGAUCCUUCAGUGGGGCUUUGAUGUGUUGGAUCUUGAUGCUCAAUAUGCUUCACCGCAAGUCAGUAUAAAACCAUUUCAUGGCCUCAAGCCAUUUUGCGGAAUCUGGGCUCAUCAUCGCAUCACCGGAACUGAUUUCUGU